UUAAAUUGAAGAGUUUGAUCAUGGCUCAGAUUGAACGCUGGCGGCAGGCCUAACACAUGCAAGUCGAGCGGUAGCACAGAGAGCUUGCUCUCGGGUGACGAGCGGCGGACGGGUGAGUAAUGUCUGGGAAACUGCCUGAUGGAGGGGGAUAACUACUGGAAACGGUAGCUAAUACCGCAUAAUGUCGCAAGACCAAAGUGGGGGACCUUCGGGCCUCAUGCCAUCAGAUGUGCCAGAUGGGAUUAGCUUGUAGGUGGGGUAACGGCUCACCUAGGCGACGAUCCCUAGCUGGUCUGAGAGGAUGACCAGCCACACUGGAACUGAGACACGGUCCAGACUCCUACGGGAGGCAGCAGUGGGGAAUAUUGCACAAUGGGCGCAAGCCUGAUGCAGCCAUGCCGCGUGUGUGAAGAAGGCCUUCGGGUUGUAAAGCACUUUCAGCGGGGAGGAAGGCGGUGAGGUUAAUAACCUCAUCGAUUGACGUUACCCGCAGAAGAAGCACCGGCUAACUCCGUGCCAGCAGCCGCGGUAAUACGGAGGGUGCAAGCGUUAAUCGGAAUUACUGGGCGUAAAGCGCACGCAGGCGGUCUGUCAAGUCGGAUGUGAAAUCCCCGGGCUCAACCUGGGAACUGCAUUCGAAACUGGCAGGCUAGAGUCUUGUAGAGGGGGGUAGAAUUCCAGGUGUAGCGGUGAAAUGCGUAGAGAUCUGGAGGAAUACCGGUGGCGAAGGCGGCCCCCUGGACAAAGACUGACGCUCAGGUGCGAAAGCGUGGGGAGCAAACAGGAUUAGAUACCCUGGUAGUCCACGCCGUAAACGAUGUCGAUUUGGAGGUUGUGCCCUUGAGGCGUGGCUUCCGGAGCUAACGCGUUAAAUCGACCGCCUGGGGAGUACGGCCGCAAGGUUAAAACUCAAAUGAAUUGACGGGGGCCCGCACAAGCGGUGGAGCAUGUGGUUUAAUUCGAUGCAACGCGAAGAACCUUACCUGGUCUUGACAUCCACAGAACUUUCCAGAGAUGGAUUGGUGCCUUCGGGAACUGUGAGACAGGUGCUGCAUGGCUGUCGUCAGCUCGUGUUGUGAAAUGUUGGGUUAAGUCCCGCAACGAGCGCAACCCUUAUCCUUUGUUGCCAGCGGUCCGGCCGGGAACUCAAAGGAGACUGCCAGUGAUAAACUGGAGGAAGGUGGGGAUGACGUCAAGUCAUCAUGGCCCUUACGACCAGGGCUACACACGUGCUACAAUGGCAUAUACAAAGAGAAGCGACCUCGCGAGAGCAAGCGGACCUCAUAAAGUAUGUCGUAGUCCGGAUUGGAGUCUGCAACUCGACUCCAUGAAGUCGGAAUCGCUAGUAAUCGUAGAUCAGAAUGCUACGGUGAAUACGUUCCCGGGCCUUGUACACACCGCCCGUCACACCAUGGGAGUGGGUUGCAAAAGAAGUAGGUAGCUUAACCUUCGGGAGGGCGCUUACCACUUUGUGAUUCAUGACUGGGGUGAAGUCGUAACAAGGUAACCG
rnacentral:rRNA from 1 species